GGGGGAUUAGCUCAGUUGGGAGAGCGCGACAAUGGCAUUGUUGAGGCCACGGGUUCGAGUCCCGUAUCCUCCACCA
rnacentral:tRNA from 1 species